rnacentral:tRNA from 1 species
GCAUUGAUGGUUCAGUGGUAGAAUUCUCGCCUUACACGCAGGAGACCAGGGUUCAAUUCCCAGCCAAUGAA